rnacentral:lncRNA from 1 species
GCUGCUGUGCAGAGAGGCAAGACAAUGAGAGUCUUCUUUCUGUAGACAGAGGAAAACAAACACAUGUCCGUUUAUUAGACGCGAUGAGACAGAAAAUGUCAGCUGAACCUGGCAGCCUCAAGCAGUGAGUGAUUUUCUUCCUCGUGUGCCUCUUCCCAAUUUCAUCUUUAGUCAGAACAGCUCCGAAGAAAUCCUUGAGCUUAUGCAACCACUUCUUGGAAACUCCAGUGGUCCCAUUUUCCAGUUUUCUAAUACAGGCAUUUUCACAUCAUCACCAGAUGCUGGGCUGUUAGCGAGUAAUAUUGCCUUGGGAGGCUUUGCCUGUUAAGAAAUUGCUUGAAGUGUCCUUUCUCUUUCCUGUGAAAUUUUAAAUCAUCAUUUACAUGGAGCCCUGACAGCAUUUUUCAGGGCCUCUUUCAUUUACUUGGGCUUCUUGAUUGCUCUGAAGGUCCCAGCUGCCCCCUGCGCAGGUUCUGGGAGCCCAGGCCGACUCUGUCACAGAGAUUCCGAUUCACAGAAUCCAGGAGCAAGGUGGAAGGACCCUUAAGAGUCUCCCAAUGUAGCCUUUUAUUCAUUCUGUCCUACAGCAUUUUUAGUAGUUGAAUCUUUUAUUCCAACCAAAUUUUACGUAAGAUAGAUGAAAGUCAAGCCCUUCAGGUUACAGGCAUGCCAGGGAGCUAAUAGUGCUGUCCUGCUUAGCACCAAGUCCCAUCCUGUAUUAGUCUGUUCUCACACUGCUGAUAAAGACACAGGGGUAAUUUAUAAAGGAAAGAGGUUUAAUGAACUCACAGUUCCACAUGCCUGGGGAAGCCUCACAAUCAUGGUGGAAGGCGAAGGAGGAGCAAAGACAUGUCUUACAUGGCGACAGGCAAGAGAGUGUGCGCAGGGGAACUGCCCUUUAUAAAACCAUCAGAUUUCAUGAGACUUAUUCACUAUCAUGAGAAUAGCACAGGAAAGACCCACCCCCAUGACUCAGUUACCUCCCACUGGGUCCCUCCCAUGACACGUGGGAAUUGUGGGAGCUACAAUUCAAGUAACAAGCUACAGUUCAAAUAACAGAUAUUUGAGUGGGGACACAGGCAAACCAUAUCACACUCUCACCCUCCACCCUCCUAAUUCCUAACCUAUCUGUCCCUCCAGGGAGGCCUUUUGCAGCAUCUCUUGUGGAUCUCUGCAUUGCCCCAUUUAAAACAACGAUGCUGUAGGUUCUAGGCUUCCUGCUUCUCCAUGGCCCCAGCAUCAUGCAGCUUCCCAGGGCAGGGCCUCCUGCCUGGCUAAGUAGACUCUCCUCACCUGGCUCUCAAUCUCUAGUCUUGCCCAGCUCUCAUCUGCUUGUCACACCAAAGCCACGAGGAUCCUUCUAAACUACAAACUGGGCUGUGUCACAUGCCUAUUUAAAAUCCUCCUUCCUGGCUGGGCACAGUGACUCAUGCUUGUAAUCCCAGCACUUUGGGAGGCCCAGGCAGGAGGGUCACUUGAGGUCAGGAGUUCAAGACCAGCCUGGCCAAUAUGGUGAAACCCCAUCUCUACUAAAAAUAUAAAAAUUAGCCAGGCGUGGUGGUGGGCACCUCUAAUCCCAGCUACUUAGGAGGCUGAGACAGGAGAAUUGCUUGAACCCAGGAGGUGGAGUUUGCAGUGAGCUGAGAUCAUGCCACUGCACUCCAGCCUGGGUGACAGAGCAAGCCUCUGUCUCAAAAAUAAAUAAAUAAAUAACCCUCCUUCCCAUAGUGGGAGGGUGUGUGAGAGGUGGGGAUGGUUAAUAGAUACAAAAAACAUAGUUAGAAAGGAUGAAUAAGACCUAGUAUUUGAUAGCACAACAGGGUGACUAUAGUCAACAAUAAUAGAAUUAUACAUUUGAAAAUAAGUAAAAGAGAUUAAUUGGGUUGUUUGUAACACAAAGGAUAAACGUUCGAGGAGAUGAAUGCCCCAUUUUCCAUGAUGUGAUUUUUAUGCAUUGCAUACCUAUAUUCAAAUACCUCAUGUACCCAUAAACAUGUACACCUAUUAUGUACCUACACAAA